UACAGAGGGUGCAAGCGUUGUUCGGAAUUAUUGGGCGUAAAGCGCGUGUAGGCGGCCUUGCAAGUCGGGUGUGAAAGCCCUCAGCUCAACUGAGGAAGUGCGCCCGAAACUGCAGAGCUUGAGUACCGGAGAGGAUGGUGGAAUUCCCCAAGUAGAGGUGAAAUUCGUAGAUAUGGGGAGGAACACCGGUGGCGAAGGCGGUUCUCUGGGCCUUACCUGACGGCUGAGGAGCGAAAGCGUGGGGAGCGAACAGG
rnacentral:rRNA from 1 species